CAGAUGCCACCCCUUACAUACUGACAUGUGGUCAAUUUAGCUUCUUUGUUUGUUUACUCCCAUCCUACCAGAAUGUGUUCUCCAGCAGAUUGCCGGAAAUGAUCAAGAGGAACAGAAAGCGGCAUCGAGCAGGGGGCACGAAUGCGUGUGAACGCUGGGCGAGUUGUACACCCUCAGCUCCAGAUCAGCAGAUGCUAGCAAGAGAUCUUCUUGAGCAACCCCGGAAGCAGCACUGAUGACUCAUGUAAACACCGGUGUACCUCUUUUUCCGGGAAAGAGUGUCCAAGUGUAAGGAUUUCAGCUCUGGAGGACUGCUGUCUUUGGCUUCACCUUGUGUAGCACCGAAACUUUCCUUAAAGUCUUCCAAGCUACCAACUGAAUCGCUCGAUACAGGCGCAUAUUGUUGCUGCUCAGGCAGAGAGGGAUGCCCCUCAGACAGUGCUGCCUGGGGCUCCUCUGAUGAAUUUGGAAGGCGUUUAGGCAUCGUUUCAAAAGGCUGUGCGUCUUCCUUGAUGAAGGAGGUUAUAGCUUCUGUUACGUUUAAAAGAAAGUGGGUGGGGAGAGAACAGUCAUGUCAAGGAACAUUCAGGAAACUGCAGACAGUUGAAUAGAAAAAAAAAAAAAAAAAAACAACCUAUUUUU